GCAGGAUCACAGUCCUGCAUCUCCACGAAACUGGUCCUCAGACUGAAGCAAGACGGUCUCUAAAACCUCCUGGUGGGCUUAAGGUAGUACUGAAUCUGGACUUGAUAAAACGCAGUCGACCAUGUCCUGAACUCGUCUGUGUGUGUGUGUGUGUUAGCGUCUCGGUCUGAUUGUAUUUCCAUGAAGAAAUGAUCAUAAAUGUUCUUCCUUGAGCUGCGGCACCCCGCUGUAGUCCGUAAUGGACUGGCCUGAGGUCUCACUACAAACAAGCGUCUGCUGGAAGAGAGUAGGUGAGUUGUGUUUAGUCUCUUUGCUAAAGAAAUGAGUCAAAGUUAAAAAGAUGUUUGGUGUCUAGUACUAUGUCUGUGACCCUAUAUGUCCUGUUGAUGAAGUUAGGUGCUGUUCUGAGCAUUAUUUGUGGCUAUAGAGUGGCGUUUUGGUUGAGGGCGUGUCUCUCUGUAUUUCUAUCCUGCGGUCGUUACUAAAGUUGGUAUAACUAGAGAAGCAAGCGGUCGACAACAUUCAUCUCUGGAGGGGGGGUCUAACUCGGUGUUACGGUGGGUUUGACUCUAAGUCAAUUU